rnacentral:rRNA from 1 species
AUCUUUAAUAGGAUGUUACGAUUGUGUGAAUACAUAGCACAUUCGAGGUAGACGCAGAGAACUGAAACAUCUAAGUACCUGCAGGAAGAGAAAGAAAAUUCGAUUCCCUGAGUAGCGGCGAGCGAAACGGGAAAAGCCCAAACCAGCAAGCUUGCUUGUUGGGGUUGUAGGACUCCAAUAUGGUAGUUCUUUCAGAUAGUCGAAUGACUUGGAAAAGUCAGUCAAAGAGGGUAAAAACCCCGUAGACGAAAUGUGGAAGACACCUAGGAGGAUCCUGAGUACGGCGGAACACGAGAAAUUCCGUCGGAAUCCGGGAGGACCAUCUCCCAAGGCUAAAUACUCCCUAGUGACCGAUAGUGAACCAGUACCGUGAGGGAAAGGUGAAAAGCACCCCGGAAGGGGAGUGAAAUAGAACCUGAAACCGUGUGCCUACAACAAGUCAAAGCCCGUUAAUGGGUGAUGGCGUGCCUUUUGUAGAAUGAACCGGCGAGUUACGAUUGCAUGCGAGGUUAAGUUGAAGAGACGGAGCCGCAGCGAAAGCGAGUCUGAAUAGGGCGUUUGAGUAUGUAGUCGUAGACCCGAAACCAUGUGAUCUACCCAUGUCCAGGUUGAAGGUGCGGUAAAACGCACUGGAGGACCGAACCCACGUACGUUGAAAAGUGCGGGGAUGAGGUGUGGGUAGCGGAGAAAUUCCAAACGAACUUGGAGAUAGCUGGUUCUCUCCGAAAUAGCUUUAGGGCUAGCCUCGGAAUU